UACGUAGGGUGCGAGCGUUGUCCGGAAUUAUUGGGCGUAAAGAGCUUGUAGGCGGUUUGUCGCGUCUGCCGUGAAAGCCCCAGGGCUUAACCCUGGGUCUGCGGUGGGUACGGGCAGACUAGAGUGUGGUAGGGGGAGACUGGAAUUCCUGGUGUAGCGGUGAAAUGCGCAGAUAUCAGGAGGAACACCGAUGGCGAAGGCAGGUCUCUGGGCCACUACUGACGCUGAGAAGCGAAAGCAUGGGGGAGCAAAACAGG
rnacentral:rRNA from 1 species